GACAAAGGAUGCAAGCGUUAUCCGGAUUCAUUGGGUUUAAAGGGUGCGUAGGCGGACUUGUAAGUCAGUGGUGAAAUCUCUCAGCUUAACUGAGAAACUGCCAUUGAUACUGCAGGUCUAGAGUAUAGAUGACGUUGGCGGAAUAUGACAUGUAGUGGUGAAAUACUUAGAUAUGUCAUAGAACACCGAUUGCGAAGGCAGCUAACGAAACUAUAACUGACGCUGAGGCACGAAAGUGCGGGGAUCAAAC
rnacentral:rRNA from 1 species